UUGACGACCGCAGCAAGAUGGCGCAGCUACCGCACCGAGGGCUGGGGCCGGAGCCCGGGGUCCUGAGCCCCGAGCAACGGGAGGAGCUCCGAAACUUCAAGAUCCAGACUCGGAUUGCCAAUGAGAAGUACCUGCGGACCCACAAGGAAGUGAGGCUGCUCAUAAGCAGCUUCUUCAGAGAAAUCUUUCUGAAAAGACCAGAUGACGUUCUAGAAUUUGCUGCAGACUAUUUCACGGAUCCAAGACUUCCCAACAAGAUUCACAGGCAGCUGAUUCAAGAAAAGAAGGCAGCUUAAUUAGCAAAACUGCACUGUUCAGCUGCUGGGAGACGAGAUGGAGUCCAGCCCCGGGGUCAUGUGGAGGCCUGAGAGCCAUUAGGGUUUCCAAGCUGCAUGGGUCCUGUCUGCUGUUGCAAAUAUCCUCAUUAAAGUCAGACCUGCCUGC